rnacentral:rRNA from 1 species
UACGGGGGGGGCAAGCGUUGUUCGGAAUUACUGGGCGUAAAGCGCGCGUAGGCGGCUCUUCAAGUCGAGUGUGAAAGCUCCAGCUUAACCUGGGAAUUGCGCCCGAUACUGUUGAGCUAGAGUGUGGAAGGGGCUACUGGAAUUCCGUGUGUAGCGGUGAAAUGCGUAGAUAUACGGAGGACACCAGCGGCGAAGGCGGGGUAGCUGGGCCAACACUGACGCUGAUGUGCGAAAGCUAGGGGAGCAAACGGG